UGUUCAGCAUUUGGGGCCAUACUGCCU
rnacentral:piRNA from 1 species